CGGGAGGAAGGUGGGGAUGACGUCAAAUCAUCAUGCCCCUUAUGUCUAGGGCUACACACGUGCUACAAUGGCUGGUACAGAGAGAUGCUAAACCGUGAGGUGGAGCCAAACUUUAAAACCAGUCUCAGUUCGGAUUGUAGGCUGAAACUCGCCUACAUGAAGCUGGAGUUGCUAGUAAUCGCGAAUCAGAAUGUCGCGGUGAAUACGUUCCCGGGCCUUGUACACACCGCCCGUCACACCAUGAGAGUUGGCAAUACCCAAAGUUCGUGAGCUAACGCGUAAGCGAGGCAGCGACCUAAGGUAGGGUCAGCGAUUGGGGUGAAGUCGUAACAAGGUAGCCGUAGGAGAACCUGCGGCUGGAUCACCUCCUUU
rnacentral:rRNA from 1 species